GGGCCGGCUCUAGCCUAGCGGUUGCUUCGGCUUCACGCAAUUCAUGUGCUCCAGGCCUCGACUGGGUUUUGAUCCCACAGGCACCCCUUGGCCCACUC
rnacentral:vault_RNA from 1 species